rnacentral:misc_RNA from 1 species
GAUAAGAACGUAGCGAAAUGCGAUACUUGGUGUGAAUUGCAGAAUCCCGUGAACCAUCGAGUCUUUGAACGCAAGUUGCGCCCGAAGCCACUAGGCCGAGGGCACGCCUGCCUGGGCGUCACACGCCGUUGCCCCCCCAUCUACUCCUUCGGGAUUGCGGGGGGGCGGAUGAUGGCCUCCCGUGCGCCUAGCCGCGCGGUUGGCAUAAAUACCAAGUCCUCGGCGACGCACGCCACGACAAUCGGUGGUUGCGAAACCUCGGUUGCCCGUCGUGUGCGUUCGUCGCGCAUCGAGGGCUCGAAAAAAUGCUCGGCUCCGGCUGGGCUUUCAACGCGACCCCAGGUCAGGCGGGGUUACCCGCUGAAUUUAAGCAUAUCAAUAAGCGGAGGA